UACGGAGGGGGGCAAGCGUUGUUCGGAAUUACUGGGCGUAAAGGGCGCGCAGGCGGCUGCUCAAGUCAGGCGUGAAAAGGCCUGGGCUCAACCCCGGGAAUUGCGCUUGAGACUGGGCUGGCUUGAGUGCGGGAGAGGAUGGUGGAAUUCCCAGUGUAGAGGUGAAAUUCGUAGAUAUUGGGAAGAACACCGGUGGCGAAGGCGGCCAUCUGGACCGCAACUGACGCUGAGGCGCGAAAACGUGGGGGAGCAAACAGGG
rnacentral:rRNA from 1 species